rnacentral:lncRNA from 1 species
AAUUAAUCUAAGGAAUGAAACUGUCUGCUCUAUUUUAUCUGCAGGGGAAGACCUCGUCCUUCUACUGUCAGUGGCAGGAGGUCAAAUGCAUCCCAUCACAACUGUUCAGUUGGAGUGUGACAUUUGUUUCUUUCUGGAUCUUCACCGACAUAGAACUCACUUCCAUAAACGGCUUUAGGAGAAAGAUAUUCAGCAUUGAACUCUGGGUUUGGAUGGCCAUGUAUUUGAAAAACAUAGAACUUAGAGGUAAGUCAUUUGGG